AAUUGCAUUUGGUGUUUAUGAAGGUUGCAAACUAGACUAAUUGGUAGUUCGCAGUAACUAUGCACCAGUUUUGAAUUGCCUUUGGUGUUUAUGAAGGUUGCAAAAUAGACUAAUUGGUAGUUGGCAGUAACUAUGCACCAAUUCCAAGCUAAACCACUCUCUCCGAUCAUUGGUGGUUCUGUUUCUUAUAGUAGCAGUUCCGAGCUGAAAACAUUCGUUGUUCCCAUGUAUCAUAUUCAACUGUCUAGUUUAGUGUGAGCUUGUGGUGAUUGAUACUUGUGUGGAAUAUAACAAUCUAAUGUUUUUGCUUUGUCUAGUUUAGUGUCUGGUUCAACAACUUCAACUUCAACCAAGGGACGCAUCUAUCACAAGAUGUAUGGUUGCCAAAUGAAUAUAAGUGACAUGGAGAUUGUGCUUUCUAUCAUGAAAAAUGAAGCGAUACGGGUCUGCCAUCUCUAUAUGACAUUUGGCCGUAAAUGGAUUAUGAUCAUAGUUGAAUAAGUUGGAGCGUCAGGUCAAUGGUCCCCCCAAUAAUUAAACUAGAUGGUGGAGUGGAGCUUUGUUUUGGGAUGAUGCAUGCAACUUUUAUGUUUCAUAACAUUGUACUCAAUUGAUGCUUGUGGCCGUUGAACCUAUUCUACUUACUUUUGGAUUUAAGUUAAGGAUAGUUAAAAAUAUUUGAUGUUUAAUACUUGUGUUGGAUGUUUUAUGCAUCAAUUCUAUGUGGAUGCUAGAAAAGUUGUGUACACUCAUGUUAUUUGAUGAAAUUGUAUGCACGAUUUGGUUUGAAUUCAAUUGAAUAUUGAUUUUUAUUAAUUAA